UACGAAGGGGGCUAGCUUUGCUCGGAAUCACUGGGCGUAAAGGGUGCGUAGGCGGGUUUUUAAGUCAGGGGUGAAAUCCUGGAGCUCAACUCCAGAACUGCCUUUGAUACUGAAGAUCUUGAGUCCGGGAGAGGUGAGUGGAACUGCGAGUGUAGAGGUGAAAUUCGUAGAUAUUCGCAAGAACACCAGUGGCGAAGGCGGCUCACUGGCCCGGUACUGACGCUGAGGUGCGAAAGCGUGGGGAGCAAACAGG
rnacentral:rRNA from 1 species